rnacentral:tRNA from 1 species
GUCCCCGUCGAUUAGUGGUUAGAUCAUCACGUUGUGGCCUAGCUAGCAAUCCGUGAAGACGCAGGCUCGACUCCUGCCAGGGACA